rnacentral:lncRNA from 1 species
UGAUUCUCUUGUCUCUUGAGCAGCUUUCUGAGAGGUACAGUCAGAUGUGUCAUAAGAGGCCACCUACCCCUUCUUUUUCACUCCAGCCAAAUGCAGAGAAGAGCUCAUACCUCUAUUCCAUAGAAAUCACACUGUGGACCGUGGUGCCUGCUGUUCAGGCCUUGGAGAAGAAAAGUGGAUUCUUGCCUGGCCCGCUUGCUGACUCUGGAGGGAUGCUCAGGGACAGCAGAGAAGAAGCUGGCUGACUGUGAGAAGACAGCUGUGGAGUUCAGCAGCCAGCUGGAGGGCAAGUUGGCCGUGCUGGGGACCCUGCCUCAGGAGUCUAGGCUGCUGCAUGAAGAACCUCAUGGGCAACUGGAACUUCUGGGUCCAGCGGCUUCCCCCUGGCAACAAGGGGGAGGUCCCCAAGGUAGCCUUUGGAUACCCUGACUAGGAAGCUUAAGGGCCUGUGCCUGUAAGCAUGUAGGUGAACAAGUGGGACAUUGUGGUUUCAGGUGCCCCUGACCUUUGAUGACAUGGCUGUAUAUUUCUCUGAAUUAGAGUGGGCCAAGCUGGAGGACUGGCAGAAGAGGCUCGACAAGCAUGUGAUGGGGGCAGCUAUGAGAUGCUCGUUUCCCUGGAUUAUGCCAUCUCCAAACCGGUCAUUCUCACCCAGAUAGAGAGGGGAGAAGAGCCUUGUCCUGCAGGCCCCUGGGGCCAGGAGAAGGGGGGUGAGGAGAAGACAAUAUGUCAAAGGAAACCAAACACCAGUAUUUCUCUGAGUCCAGAGCAGGCCCCAAGUCCAGCUAGCCCUGCCCAGGAGGAACUGAAUCAAAGGCAGACACCUGAGCAGCAGCAAGAGGAAGCAACCAUGAUUCCACCUGAGCCAGGCACUGGGAUUCCAGCAAGCACCAGCCCUUUAUCACUUAAACAGGAGGAAGAAUCUGCAGAGGGAGGAGAGUUGCCACCCUCCCCUUCCACAGAUAGCCUGCUUUCUGUGGAGCCAGGAUCUUGCCAUCUGUCUCAGAAUGAACUCAUGGACCUAGAUGAGGGAGGGGAGUGACUUGCCUGUAUGUCACCCAUCCCAAACAAAUCCACCAAGGUGUGUGCUGCAGGACUCUAUGCAGGGUCCCUGGCCCCUGGCUUUUGCAGCUUGCUUCCUUCUCUGGUGUUCUUAGCUCAGCUUCCAGGAAUGAGGCAUAAGACAGCAAGCAAAGUUGAACAAUACAUGAGACACUCCUGCCCCGUGGUGUCUAUGACUAGGACCCCUGGCCUGAUCUAAUGGCACUCACAAAGACUGGGGAAGGGAGGGGAGGCCUGAACCUGGAGUAAGGCCUGGAUCGAAUGGCAGGGGAAGCCAUGAGGUCCCCUUGGAACCAGCAAUGAUUCCUAUGACCAUCAAGACAGAAGCCCCAUCUGAGGAUCAACCUGAGCAGAACCUUCUGCAGUCCUGCAGCCAGUCCGUAUUUAGAGUCCACAGAAGGACCAGGAUUAAGACCAGGGGCCACAGAUGGCAUCACACGGAUUGGGGAACCUCAGGCAGCAGAGGAUAUGGGAGAGCCACCCUGUAUCCUUCCUCAGCCACAGAAGCAGGCAUUCCUGUGCCCUGACUGUGGGCAGAGCUUCUGCUUGAAGAUUAAUCUGACAAUCCAUUAGCAGACCCAUGUAGAAAAGAAACACAAGGAGGCUUGGAGUGGCUUGCCUAUUAGGUCAGGGAAAAGCCACUCCACACUGGAACCAGAGAAAGUGGUGGUGCCAGGCCCUGUCAUCCACUGGCCACCUGAGGAGCCCACAAGCCACCGGUCUCCAACAAGCCAUGCCUUCAUGAGACAAAGGCCAGCAACUACAGUUUACCACUGUAGUGAAUGUCUUCACUCCUUUCAGCAACAGAAGAGCCUGGUAUUACACCAGCAUCAGCACACAGGCAAGAGGCAGAGCUGGCCUGCCUGUCCCUACUGUGGCAAGGCCUCCCGCCGGCCCUCAGACCUCUUUUGUCACCAGUGUAUCCAUACUGGUGAGCGUUCCUAUCAGUGCCCCCAGUGUGGCAAGGAGCCACCACCUGGCUGUCCACAUGCAGACUCAUUCCUGAGGCUAAACAAUCCUGCAUUUCCUCUUGCUUUCUGUCCUCCAGGGAAGUCCAGCCCUGCAAGGGCCCAGCUCUGAACAGGACAGGACCUGCACUGUCUCAGGGCCUUUCCCUUGUGCCUGCCAAGUGGUGGAAGUUCCUUCACUUUCCAGCUGAGUUGGUACUUUAGGGGCCCUUCAAAAGCACAAGCUCCAGACCAGGAAUUUGAGGUGAUAGUGUCAUGCCUCAAAGUCAUGAGAGCGGGUGCUUCAUGUGCCUCUUUGUCACAGCACCUUGGGGACAGCCUUGUGGAGCUUCUGGAGCUGGGUGAUGGAUUCCAAUUCUGAUAGUUUGCUCUCUUGUUUGGCACUCAGACACCAGAGCACAUGAAGGCUCCCAGGUGCCUUCAUCCCUGGCUGUGCUAUUGCUAAAGUCCUGCAGACUCUGUAGCCACUCAGAAGUCCUGCACAGACGAGGCAGAGGGUGACACUGCCGUCAUUCCCAGGGUAGGGGUAUGACUGGCAAGACUGUGGCAUGCAGCCAUGGUUCUGGACGUUACUUGCCUGCACACCCAACCGUUGUUUAGGCCCUGCAAGCAAGACAGCAGUUGUCAGUAAGCGCUCAGACUGAACGUGGACAGUAUAGCUGCCCCAAACUUAAUCCUCCGCUGCAAGCACUCAUGUUGCUGUUCUGGGGGUUCCUAGGCCUCUCUUCUAAUGCUUUAGAUGUUCUCUGGAAAACAAGUAUUCAUAUUUGAAGCACAAAUCCAAGUGCUGGGGUGGGGGAAGAGGCGCUGUAUAAUCCUGGCUCGCCUUGGGCUUGCAGUGAAUUUUUUUCCCCUACCUCUAUCUACCUACUAGGAUUUCCUUGCUUGUGCCAUUAUGCACAACUGGGCUUACUGCAUUUAACCUGAAAUUCAAUAGGACAGGUUAAAGAGUAUUUUGAGUUAAGAAUGAACAAAGGCUGCAUGGUUGCCUGAGCUCAAAGACGUUGGAUCCCAGAUUCUGAUGACUUAUUUUGUAAAACAAAGAUAUGGUUGGGUUGGUUACAAGGCCCUAAGAACCAUGGAGGUGGAAAUAUUAACUUAAUCGGUGCUCUAUAAAUACACUGGAAAAUGUAGCUGCGUGUUUGUGGCCUAGUUUGUUCUGGGGAGUCUCAACAUGUGACCCUAGUGGUUGGCGUGGCUCUACAGCUCAAAGGUGAACGGAGCUCAACACCUAGUGCUCACACCUGCGGGGCUGAGACGAAACGCUAGCG